GGGUAGCCGGCCUGAGAGGGCGACCGGCCACACUGGGACUGAGACACGGCCCAGACUCCUGCGGGAGGCAGCAGUGGGGAAUAUUGCGCAAUGGGCGAAAGCCUGACGCAGCGACGCCGCGUGGGGGAUGACGGCCUUCGGGUUGUAAACCUCUUUUACCACCAACGCAGGCUCCGGGUUCUCUCGGGGUUGACGGUAGGUGGGGAAUAAGGACCGGCUAACUACGUGCCAGCAGCCGCGGUAAUACGUAGGGUCCGAGCGUUGUCCGGAAUUAUUGGGCGUAAAGAGCUCGUAGGCGGCGUGUCGCGUCUGCUGUGAAAGACCGGGGCUUAACUCCGGUUCUGCAGUGGAUACGGGCAUGCUAGAGGUAGGUAGGGGAGACUGGAAUUCCUGGUGUAGCGGUGAAAUGCGCAGAUAUCAGGAGGAACACCGGUGGCGAAGGCGGGUCUCUGGGCCUUACCUGACGCUGAGGAGCGAAAGCGUGGAG
rnacentral:rRNA from 1 species